CCUACGGGUGGCUGCAGUGGGGAAUAUUGGACAAUGGGCGCAAGCCUGAUCCAGCCAUGCCGCGUGGGUGAAGAAGGCCUUCGGGUUGUAAAGCCCUUUUGUUGGGAAAGAAAUCCUGCCGGUUAAUAACCAGUAGGGAUGACGGUACCCAAAGAAUAAGCACCGGCUAACUUCGUGCCAGCAGCCGCGGUAAUACGAAGGGUGCAAGCGUUACUCGGAAUUACUGGGCGUAAAGCGUGCGUAGGUGGUUGUUUAAGUCUGUCGUGAAAGCCCUGGGCUCAACCUGGGAAUUGCGAUGGAUACUGGGCAACUAGAGUGUGGUAGAGGAUAGUGGAAUUUCCGGUGUAGCAGUGAAAUGCGUAGAGAUCGGAAGGAACAUCUGUGGCGAAGGCGACUAUCUGGGCCAACACUGACACUGAGGCACGAAAGCGUGGGGAGCAAACAGGCUUAGAUACCCCAGUAGUC
rnacentral:rRNA from 1 species